rnacentral:rRNA from 1 species
CGCGGCCUAUCAGCUUGUUGGUGAGGUAACGGCUCACCAAGGCGACGACGGGUAGCCGGCCUGAGAGGGCGACCGGCCACACUGGGACUGAGACACGGCCCAGACUCCUACGGGAGGCAGCAGUGGGGAAUAUUGCACAAUGGGCGAAAGCCUGAUGCAGCGACGCCGCGUGAGGGAUGACGGCCUUCGGGUUGUAAACCUCUUUCAGCAGGGAAGAAGCGAAAGUGACGGUACCUGCAGAAGAAGCGCCGGCUAACUACGUGCCAGCAGCCGCGGUAAUACGUAGGGCGCAAGCGUUGUCCGGAAUUAUUGGGCGUAAAGAGCUCGUAGGCGGCUUGUCACGUCGGAUGUGAAAGCCCGAGGCUUAACCUCGGGUCUGCAUUCGAUACGGGCUAGCUAGAGUGUGGUAGGGGAGAUCGGAAUUCCUGGUGUAGCGGUGAAAUGCGCAGAUAUCAGGAGGAACACCGGUGGCGAAGGCGGAUCUCUGGGCCAUUACUGACGCUGAGGAGCGAAAGCGUGGGGAGCGAACAGGAUUAGAUACCCUGGUAGUCCACGCCGUAAACGCUGGGAACUAGGUGUUGGCGACAUUCCACGUCGUCGGUGCCGCAGCUAACGCGUUAAGUUCCCCGCCUGGGGAGUACGG